CAAAGGUGCCACUGGCCAUGGAGGUUUCUGGCUGGAAAAGUAAAACCCUAAGGACCCUAUGACAAUGGCAUCUCAUUGUGGUUUUGAUUUGCAUUUCUCUGAUGAUUAGUGAUGUGGAGCAUUUUUUAUAUGUUCUCUGACUCCUUGUAUGUUUUCCUUUGAGAAUGUUUGUUCAUAUUCUUUGCCCAUUUUUUAAUGGGGUAAAUUGAUUUUUGCUUGGUGAUUUUUUUAAGUUUCUUAUAGAUUCUAAAUAUUAGCAAAGUCUAACUUUUGAUUGGUAGAAAAACCAAGAAGCUGCGCUGAAACCAGGGAUUUUAGUAGUUAGCCAUCCAAAGCAAAUAACAGUAAAUCCUGUUCAAAAGUCUGAGGAAUCACUGAGAAUUUGCAUAUUAUGGAGUCUACAGAUUUCACUGAAUCAGAUGACUGAGUUGAACUUGAGAUGUGAUCCAAAAAAGAAAGCUUCUGUAAAAUUCCUGAAAGCUCUUUGGCAGCGCAUUUCACUGUAGUGGGCAUCUACACAUCUGAGAAAAUUUUGAUAAUGGGAACAUGAAAGGGGAUGAUAGAGAAACAAUGACACUCAGCAGAAGUAAAAGCUCUUAACACCUCUCAUUUCAGCUUUAUGAAGUGAAAAGUACAAUACAUACUCCCAAGAUCAUUCUGUCCUUUACUGGUAAACGACACUUGGUGCCAAUAAAUCUAUGGAGAAAUUAUCAACUUUUGUUCCUACAUCAUACAAAAAUAUAGAUUUCCCCAUAAUGUGACAAUCGUAUUUUUUCAAAAAAAAAUUAAUGAUGCAUUGCAUGGUAGCAAUUAGACCUAGAAAAGACAACG
rnacentral:lncRNA from 1 species